GAGGCACUGAUAGAAAGAAAGAGAAUGGGAGAGAGAGAAUGAGAGAAGGGAUGGGAAGGCAGACAGAGUGAAAGAAGACUGAAGGGAGGGAGGCGAAUCUGUGAGGUCUAUUUUGUGGUGUUUCAAGCUGAACAAGGUGCACAACUGCGUGUCUGUCUUCAAUGAGUAUACACUGAAAUAACAACAGGUUUUGCAAGAUAACCAACAGUGUUGACUACAUUAUCUAGAGACACAGCUGAUUUCCCUCCUAAAGUCAAGACAUGGAAAGGACAGAGAAUAAAGUGUCCACCAUCUCCCCACAAAAACAGACAGUAAAAAAUAGAUCCAAGUCCACAGAAGAGGUACAGCAAGCCAAAAAGGCUUUUCAUACACCACAAAAAUCUCUCCCGGCUAAACCAGAAACUGAACAACUAGAGGAGACCUCAGAAUUGAGUGCCUCAUCGGAGGAGUUCAAAUGAUUGCUGGAUUCGGGGCUUUGAGAUUUAGACAGAUCAAAUGGAAUUAUGGGUGAUAACAAGUGGAUGAUUCAGUGUCUCUGUUUAUAGAAUUGUGACUUGGUUUUAGCUAGUUUGCAUAGAAGAAAACCAACAAUAAUCAUGUGUAGCUUCUUGGAUUUGUAUGAGUCUGAUAAUGUUUGUGAAAUAAAUGCUCAACUGGA